rnacentral:lncRNA from 10 species
AGUGAACCAAGCAGGCAGUUUACCCACCACCAAGAAACUUCUAGUGGAGAAGAGAGAGUGAAAUGGAAUUAAUCAAGCAGUGAUAAGUGCUGUAAGGGCAUAAAACUAGUUGCAGAGUUUUUGGGUACGUUGGUAAGUUGGUCAGGAAAUGAAAUGCAGAAGUGAGCCUUGCAGUUGUUACAGGCAGGAUGAACCAGAAGC